UGUAUCUAUGUAUAUUUGUAUACACACAUGUAUAUGUGUUUGUUUGUGUGUUGUGUGUGUGAUAUAAGGAUAUAUGAG
rnacentral:miRNA from 1 species